ensembl:lncRNA
AGAGAGUGAGAGAGUUUCCGAAACCGAAAGCCUUACUUGAUGAAGGCGCCCGGCUUGGAAAGCACACCCACUCCUCUCCCGGCAGCAAGCGAAAGUGAAGAAGCACCGCGCGCAACCAGAUGACGUAUCUUCCGUGAUGUGUCUUCCUUCUCUGACCGUGAGGUCCUCUGGGAUACGUAGUUCUUCUCUUUUGUCCAUGAUGUUAUGAUGUGGAAUACCAAUAGCGAAGUUACAAAACCAUGACAAUUAUGGUCUCUGGAAGAGUGGGCAAGCUACUUAUGAUGAUUACAGGUACGUAGUGAAGCUGUGCAGGGAGAAAAUUAGAAAAGCCAAAGCUCAGCUGGAACUGAACAUGGCCACUAAGGUAACAGAAAACAAUAAAUAUUUUUAUAAAUACAUCAGCAGCAAGAGGAGGGCUAGGGAGAAUCUCCAUCCCUUGUUUGAUGCCGAGGGGAACUUGGUGACCAAGGAUCAGGAUGAGGCUGAGGUACUUAAUGCCUUCUUUGCCUCAGUCUUUAACAGUAAGACUUGUUACUCCCUGGGAACACGGUGAAAAGGAGUCUUAAGAUGGGAGUUGGGAAGGUUCAUUCAUAGAGCUUUAAAGUAGGUACGUAGGGGGGUUGUGGGGGUGUAACUGGACUCACUUGAAUGGAGCCUGUAUGUAACGUGUCAGUGCUUGUAGGAGAGGGAUGUGCUAGUUCACUACCCUGCGCUGGUAGAUAGGGAUGGGGAACAGAAUAAGCCCUGCCUGACCCAUGAUGAGAUAGUUUUAGACCUGUUCUGAAAGCUGAAUGCUCACAAAUCCAUGGGGCCUGAUGGAUUGCACCCUAGAGUGUUGAGGGAGUUGGCAGAUGUGGUUGCCAAGCCACUCUCCAUCAUUCUUUGGCAGUCCUGACUAACGGGGGAUGUACUGGCGAACUGGAGACUGGCAAAUGUGAUGCCCAUUUUCAAAAAGGGUUAGAAAGAUGAUCCUGGUAGCUACAGACCUAUCAGUCUCACCUCAGUGCUGGGGAAGGUUAUGGAAUGGAUAAUCUCGGGAGCCAUCAUGGACCAGUUAAAAGUCAACCAGGGGAUCAGGCCCAGUGAGCAUGGGUUUACGAAUGGUAGAUCCUGUCUGACAAACCUGAUUUCAUCCUAUGACAAGGUGACCCGCUUAGUGGAUGAGGGUCAGGCUGUCAAUGUGGUCUACCUAGACUUCAGUAAGGUCUUUGACACUGUCCCCCACAACAUCCUCUUGGAGAAGCUGGCUGCCCAUGGUUUGGAUGGGUGUACGCUCCACUGAGUGAAACACUGGCUGGAUGGCCGGG